UGGCGACCGGCGCACGGGUGCGUAACGCGUAUGCAACCUACCUUUAACGGGGGAGUAACACUGAGAAAUUGGUACUAAUACCCCAUAAUAUCAUAGAAGGCAUCUUUUAUGGUUGAAAAUUCCGAUGGUUAGAGAUGGGCAUGCGUUGUAUUAGCUAGUUGGUGGGGUAACGGCUCACCGAGGCGACGAUACAUAGGGGGACUGAGAGGUUAACCCCCCACACUGGUACUGAGACACGGACCAG
rnacentral:rRNA from 1 species